rnacentral:rRNA from 1 species
GCGGUAUGCUUAACACAUGCAAGUCGAACGGUAACAGGCCUUCGAGCGCUGACGAGUGGCGGACGGGUGCGUAACGCGUAGGAAUCUGCCUGUUAGUGGGGGACAACGUGGGGAAACUCACGCUAAUACCGCAUACGCCCUACGGGGGAAAGCGGGGGAUCUUCGGACCUCGCGCUAACAGAUGAGCCUGCGUUGGAUUAGCUAGUUGGUAGGGUAAAGGCCUACCAAGGCGACGAUCCAUAGCUGGUCUGAGAGGACGAUCAGCCACACUGGGACUGAGACACGGCCCAGACUCCUACGGGAGGCAGCAGUGGGGAAUAUUGGACAAUGGGCGCAAGCCUGAUCCAGCAAUACCGCGUGUGUGAAGAAGGCCUGAGGGUUGUAAAGCACUUUUAAUCGGGAGGAACACCUGUCAGCGAAUACCUGGCAGUCUGACAUUACCGAUAGAAAAAGCACCGGCUAACUCCGUGCCA